AUGCAUAUUUAUUUAAAUUAUAGAAAAAUCAUAGAAAUAAAAGGUGUUGAAAGUAAUAAUAAUAACUCUGUAGGAUUAUUCACAAAAAGUGGUAUAUCAGAAUUUAUAAAUAUAGUGUCAGGAAAUUUAUAUUUUAUAAAAAUAUUAAAAAAUAAAUUAAUAGAUUCAAAUGACACAGAUGGAAAAAAUGGAACAGAUGUUUAUAAAAGUGAAUUUUUACAAAGCUAUCGUUUCUCCAAAAAAAUAAUUAAGGAUGAUUUGAGUGUAUAUGAAAUACCAUAUACAACAAAUAAAGAUUAUGACGAUGCGAACAUGAUAAACUCGGUUGGAGAUUUAUAUCCUGUACCAGAUUCUGACACAUAUUACAACAAAUUAAAUAAAAAAAAUACAUUUAAUUUUUCUAAUAAUCAAAAUAAUACAGAAAAGGGACAAAAUUUAUGUAAAACGUAUACUAGCAAAAAUUUUAAUUUGUAUGAUUGGGUAAAUGGUAAUAAUAACAACAACAACAACAACAACAACAACAACAACAACAACAACAACAAUAGUGACAAUAAUAAUGAUAGUAUAUAUAACUGGAAAGUUAUAAACGAAUUUGGUAUAAGCAGAUUAAUAUAUUUCAACAAUUACAAAAACAUGAAAAUUGAAUCAUCAUUGAUUUAUAAAUUAAGUUCAUGUAAUUCUUAUAAAUUAUCAUCCUAUAUAAAAUUAGAAAAUAAUAGUGAAGCUGGUUUAUUAUUUAGAUAUAACAAUUCAAAUAAUAUGUAUAUAUUAACAAUAUCAGUUGAUACGAAAAAUAUAGUACUAAAAAAAUAUCAAAAUAAUAAAAAAACUAUUCUUAAAAGUAUAUAUAUACCAACAAUUAAUACUUUUCGAAGACAUCAUUUAGUGAUAGAUGACCAAGGACAAACAGGAAUUAUUAGUAUAUCCCUUGACGAAGAAAAUAUUUUUUCUAUAAAUAAUCAAAAUAAUUACAAGUCAGGAUUUGUAGGAUUUUUUGUCGAAUAUGGAUAUGCAAUAUAUGAUACGUUUAAAUUCGAGCCAACUAAUUCGACUAAGCCGACUAAGACAAACACAUCAUAA
ensembl:lncRNA